rnacentral:rRNA from 1 species
GACGAACGCUGGCGGCGUGCCUAGUACAUGCAAGUAGAACGCACAGUUUAUACCGUAGCUUGCUACACCAUAGACUGUGAGUUGCGAACGGGUGAGUAACGCGUAGGUAACCUGCCUGGUAGCGGGGGAUAACUAUUGGAAACGAUAGCUAAUACCGCAUAAUAUUAAUUAUUGCAUGAUAAUUAAUUGAAAGGUGCAAUUGCACCACUACCAGAUGGACCUGCGUCGUAUUAGCUAGUAGGUGAGGUAACGGCUCACCUAGGCGACGAUACAUAGCCGACCUGAGAGGGUGAUCGGCCACACUGGGACUGAGACACGGCCCAGACUCCUACGGGAGGCAGCAGUAGGGAAUCUUCGGCAAUGGACGAAAGUCUGACCGAGCAACGCCGCGUGAGUGAAGAAGGUUUUCGGAUCGUAAAGCUCUGUUGUAAGAGAAGAACGGGUGUGAGAGUGGAAAGUUCACACUGUGACGGUAUCUUACCAGAAAGGGACGGCUAACUACGUG